AUUGAACGCUGGCGGCAGGCCUAACACAUGCAAGUCGAACGGCAGCACGGAAGAGCUUGCUCUUUGGGUGGCGAGUGGCGGACGGGUGAGUAAUGUCUGGGAAACUACCCGAUGGAGGGGGAUAACUACUGGAAACGGUAGCUAAUACCGCAUAACGUCGCGAGACCAAAGUGGGGGACCUUCGGGCCUCACACCAUCGGAUGUGCCCAGAUGGGAUUAGCUAGUAGGUGGGGUAAUGGCUCACCUAGGCGACGAUCCCUAGCUGGUCUGAGAGGAUGACCAGCCACACUGGAACUGAGACACGGUCCAGACUCCUACGGGAGGCAGCAGUGGGGAAUAUUGCACAAUGGGCGCAAGCCUGAUGCAGCCAUGCCGCGUGUAUGAAGAAGGCCUUCGGGUUGUAAAGUACUUUCAGCGGGGAGGAAGGCGGUGAGGUUAAUAACCUUGCCGAUUGACGUUACCCGCAGAAGAAGCACCGGCUAACUCCGUGCCAGCCGCCGCAGUAA
rnacentral:rRNA from 1 species